rnacentral:rRNA from 1 species
UACGUAGGGGGCAAGCGUUGUCCGGAAUCAUUGGGCGUAAAGAGCGCGUAGGCGGCCCAGUAAGUCCGCUCUGAAAGUCAGGGGCUCAACCCCUGGAUGCGGGUGGAUACUGCUGGGCUAGAGUCCGGAAGAGGCGAGUGGAAUUCCUGGUGUAGCGGUGAAAUGCGCAGAUAUCAGGAGGAACACCGGUGGCGAAGGCGGGUCUCUGGGCCGAUACUGACGCUGAGGAGCGAAAGCGUGGGGAGCGAACAGGG